GUGAGGAAUAUUGCGCAAUGGAGGCAACUCUGACGCAGCCAUGCCGCGUGCAGGAAGAAGGCGCUACGCGUUGUAAACUGCUUUUAACCGGGAAGAAACCCCAGGACGUGUCCUGGGUUGACGGUACCGGAGGAAUAAGCACCGGCUAACUUCGUGCCAGCAGCCGCGGUAAUACGAAGGGUGCAAGCGUUAUCCGGAUUCAUUGGGUUUAAAGGGUGCGUAGUCGGAGCGUUAAGUCAGGGGUGAAAUCCUGCAGCUUAACUGUAGACUUGCCAUUGAUACUGUCGAUCUUGAGUGCGCUUGAAGUGGGCGGAAUGUGCCGUGUAGCGGUGAAAUGCUUAGAUAUGGCACAGAACACCAAUUGCGAAGGCAGCUCACUAAGGCGAUACUGACGCUGAGGCACGAAAGCGUGGGGAUCGAACAGGAUUAGAAACCCUAGUAGUCC
rnacentral:rRNA from 1 species